GGGGAUCUGGCCGAGUGGUUAAGGCGCUGUGUUUAGGUAAAUUUGAUUUAUCAAAACGACUUCAUUUCCGCAGUGGGAAACCGCGUGGGUUCGAAUCCCACGGUCCUCA